rnacentral:rRNA from 1 species
UACAGACGGUCCAAACGUUAUUCGGAAUCACUGGGCUUAAAGAGUUCGUAGGCGGUCCAGAGAGUGGGGUGUGAAAGCCCUCGGCUUAACCGAGGAAUUGCGCUCCAAACUACUGGACUUGAGGAGGCUAGAGGUAAGCGGAACUGAUGGUGGAGCGGUGAAAUGCGUUGAUAUCAUCAGGAACACCGGAGGCGAAGGCGGCUUACUGGGGCCUAUCUGACGCUGAGGAACGAAAGCCAGGGGAGCGAACGGG